rnacentral:rRNA from 1 species
UGUUUCGGCAAGGGGGUCAUCCCGACUUACCAACCCGAUGCAAACUGCGAAUACCGGAGAAUGUUAUCACGGGAGACACACGGCGGGUGCUAACGUCCGUCGUGAAGAGGGAAACAACCCAGACCGCCAGCUAAGGUCCCAAAGUCAUGGUUAAGUGGGAAACGAUGUGGGAAGGCCCAGACAGCCAGGAUGUUGGCUUAGAAGCAGCCAUCAUUUAAAGAAAGCGUAAUAGCUCACUGGUCGAGUCGGCCUGCGCGGAAGAUGUAACGGGGCUAAACCAUGCACCGAAGCUGCGGCAGCGACGCUUAUGCGUUGUUGGGUAGGGGAGCGUUCUGUAAGCCUGUGAAGGUGUGCUGUGAGGCAUGCUGGAGGUAUCAGAAGUGCGAAUGCUGACAUAAGUAACGAUAAAGCGGGUGAAAAGCCCGCUCGCCGGAAGACCAAGGGUUCCUGUCCAACGUUAAUCGGGGCAGGGUGAGUCGACCCCUAAGGCGAGGCCGAAAGGCGUAGUCGAUGGGAAACAGGUUAAUAUUCCUGUACUUGGUGUUACUGCGAAGGGGGGACGGAGAAGGCUAUGUUGGCCGGGCGACGGUUGUCCCGGUUUAAGCGUGUAGGCUGGUUUUCCAGGCAAAUCCGGAAAAUCAAGGCUGAGGCGUGAUGACGAGGCACUACGGUGCUGAAGCAACAAAUGCCCUGCUUCCAGGAAAAGCCUCUAAGCAUCAGGUAACAUCAAAUCGUACCCCAAACCGACACAGGUGGUCAGGUAGAGAAUACCAAGGCGCUUGAGAGAACUCGGGUGAAGGAACUAGGCAAAAUGGUGCCGUAACUUCGGGAGAAGGCACGCUGAUAUGUAGGUGAAGCGACUUGCUC